CAAAAACAUAGCCUGGGGAAAAGAUCUUAGGUUCUACCUGCCCAAUGUUUAGAUGAAUGGCCGCGGUACUUUGACCGUGCUAAGGUAGCGUAAUUAUUUGUCUUUUAAAUGGAGUCAUGUAUGAAUGGGGUUACGGGGUUAAGCUGUCUCAGUUUUAUUUUUUUGAAGUUACUAUAUAGAUGAAAAAGUCUAUAAAUUGAAAAAAGACGAGAAGACCCUUAGAGUUUUAUUGAUAUCAAUUUUGUUGGGGCAACACGGGAACAAUAAAUUUCCUUUAUUACAAACCGAUUUUAAUAAAAAUGAAUAAACUACCUUAGGGAUAACAGCAUAAUUUAAUUUUAAGUUUGUGACCUCGAUGUUGGACUAGGAAUCUAAAGGGCUAGCCGUUUUUUAGAGAAGUUCUGUUCGAACUAAAAUUCCUACGUGAUC
rnacentral:rRNA from 1 species